CUAAACUGGCGCACGUCCACCCCAUGCAGGUGCACACACGCGUCCUAAAGAGUGCGGGCUCUAAUUUUAGUCAUCGAAGCGUCAGAAUAAACAGUUUGCCGCUCGUGUUGGGUUACGGCUUGCUCGUAGCUUUUUCUUCGAGGAAAGAAUUGAAAUCGACAACCACGUCGUAGAUCAUAUAGACCCGACGAUAUUCUUCAAAUUCCCGUUUACGGGAAUUCUGUAGGACUAUUAUAUAACGAGAAACGAAUAUUUAUUUGUACGGAAAUAAAAAAAUUGACAUCGAUGAUACGCACAGGAGAGACGAAGGAAUUGUAGACCGAAAAGCUUUUGUCUUGAGACUAACAACUGAACUAUAAAUCUUAAGGAGAUCCGAUAAAUUUAAUUAUUUCCAUCCUCGAGAUAAUUAUACUGUGACCGUUUAAUUGGCUGGUAAUGUCUUCGUAAAAUGUUCUAACCGAACAGCUGUGGGUACUAUUUCUAGAUCCAAAUGACUAGGGUAUCACUGAUUCAUGAUAUAACAGAGGAAAGUGCAAAUUUUAAUUAAAUUGAUUUUUCAUCGAUCACACUUUAAGAAAUAAAAUAGAAAAAUGAUUGAAAAAUAAAAAUAGUAAUUUCACGGUUUAUCGUCGUGUAAUCCUCUAUCCUCUUAAAGCAAAUAAAAAAAUAUAAAUAAUCACUUAAAGUUACGCACAAAUUGGCUGAGCGCCAGAGUACACUGUAUCCAAAGUGAAAUGUCAUCAGAAACCAAAACACAAUAUUUCUUUCGAAUUCCUUGGAGUAUUAAAUCGCAAUUUGGGCUCGAGUUCAUUAUAUCAUCCACGUUGAACUUUCGCCAGAGACAUCGCGCACGAUAAAGGUUCACAUAAUCCGAGAUUCAGUUAUUAUAUAAUACAGUUUUAUUAUCAUUAAUCAUAUAGUAUAAUAAGAACAAUACGCCAGGCAGCAAUAUGAGCCGACGUCGAUGCGCCUGGUUAUGGUAUUCCAUCGUAUACUUCACUCUCGUCGUUUACCACCCCCGUGUGUCUAUUGCAAAUGCCAAAGAAAUAUUUUUUUUUUUUACGUGCGCGUACGAUUUCAAUAUAGCCUGUAUGUGUGUGCGUGUACGUAUAGUGCAUGUAAAUAU